ACAACUGGGAUUGAUCUCAAUUAGUCAACAAAAUCUGUGUAGUCUGUUCAAAGGAGAGGAAGGAAAUUUAGCCUAGUGAGGCUUUGGGGAUUUCGUCUCGUCUUCCCUGUUUCUUUUUCCUCCAAGAAGAGAAAUAUCAUCAGAAGAGCUGCACUGCUUUGUCGGGAACCAUCUACCCGGCUUACACGGUGUUUCUUAAGCGCGCCGGCUGCGACGGACCGCGCAGAAGCUGGCGGAGAGGAGCUACCCAACAGGAGCGGCUGAGAGGAGCUACCCCAUGUCCCAGGAGCAGCGGCUGUGCAGCGCAGGAGAGCUGAGAGGAGCUACUCCACGUUCAAGGAACUUGUUGAGAAGCAAGGCUUACUCAUCUUCGAGACUUCGCAUGGUGAGGUUUCCUUAGGAGAAAGAACUCAUGAGUGAGCACGUACGCCAGCAAAGGUUUGAUUUGGGGAAGUUUAACAAUAAUCCUCAUAAACCCACAAGUGAAGAGUGGGCCCUACAGAAGUGAUGUGGAUCACUGCAAGAACAACUUGUGGAGGAGCUGUCUUGCGGAAGAUGGUCUUCCUUUGAUGUGAGCCUUGAGGAUAACAGAAGAUGCUCAGGGACCAAUGCUUUCCACAUCCCAGAGAGCAUGCCCAGGGGCUGGUCCACUGGUAUACAGCUGAAUGUAUAGUGGACACAUCUGGGCUACAUAGCUCUUCAUGGAGACUAAGUAUGGCAGAGAAUUAUUCAACUACAUCCUACAAUUUGUUAAUAAGACCAUUGUUAUCGAAGCUAACAUUGGAGAAAAUAGCAUUAUUUUAAGUGGUCAUUACAUUGUCUUGAAAAAAAUAUGGUGAUUUAUUGCUUGAAGAAACUGUUCAAACACUCUCAAAAAGAAAUUUACACCCACAAAUAUCCAAGUGUAGACACACAUACACAAAUGUAU
ensembl:lncRNA